rnacentral:sRNA from 1 species
CUGAUAGGCCACAGCUGCUGCUGGCUCUGCAGCCUUGGCAGAGUUGCAAAUAGGUUAAACGGAGAUGGGAGUUCUAGUUCUCUUUUGCUUCAGCCAGCUUCCUUUUCUGGCUAAAUUUGAAUAAACUCAAAGAAACUGGGCAAGGGGUUUACGGCUCCCCGUGGAGCUUCACAAAGGUCCACAUUGGCCAACUGUAUUCAACUGACAAGCUGAUCAUUGAGAAUCGAGACAUGCCCAGGACCUAGCAAGCCGGGGACCAGCCACCAGUGGCGGCCAGGGACCACCUUCAGCAUCCACUCUCUGUUUGAGAUGGGGGCUCCCAAAACCAGCUUACAAUAGCCUUUUGCGCUGCCUGCCCUGUGGGAGCUGAUAAACCAAGUCACAUUUGCAUUCUGUUGCAGGCUUAGUGAAAAAGGACCGCUGUCUUUCCUUGGUUCAAGUGUUAGAAUGGAGAGCUGGAGUUCGUUCAGAAUAGUGCUGUGUGUUACCGCGUCUCCCCUGCACCCCAUUCCUAUCUUGUAGCUCAUGACCGUUGUGUAUAGCAUGUCUACACUUUGUUUCUUGGUCCUUGACAAUAAAAAGAAUGAUCUCCCUGAGCCUUUGACCCCAGAUAAACCCCUCCCGAUUAGUGCAUUUUCAUUUCCCACUGAUACAAGGCCUGGAGAGGGCUGCUGGGGGCCCUCAGGGAGGGUUCAACUCUGAGACGAGAACUGCCUUGGUGAAGGCAAGUUCAAGCACCACUUGAGACUGUGGGCAGCAUGGAGUAGGGCAGGGCUACGGGGGUACACAGUGCACCCUGCAACUUAUACCUGAGCCCAGUACAACAAAGGUGAUGGGUGUGUAGGUACACACCGAGAUGAAGCACUGCGGAUCAGCAACCUCAGCCCCACCUGGGAGUUUGCUGGAAAUGCAGGCUCAAGCCCGUCCCCACACCUGGU